GACGAACGCUGGCGGCGUGCUUAACACAUGCAAGUCGAACGGAAAGGCCCUGCUUUUGUUGGGUGCUCGAGUGGCGAACGGGUGAGUAACACGUGAGUAACCUGCCCUUGACUUUGGGAUAACUUCAGGAAACUGGGGCUAAUACCGGAUAGGAGCUCCUGCUGCAUGGUGGGGGUUGGAAAGUUUCGGCGGUUGGGGAUGGACUCGCGGCUUAUCAGCUUGUUGGUGGGGUAGUGGCUUACCAAGGCUUUGACGGGUAGCCGGCCUGAGAGGGUGACCGGCCACAGUGGGACUGAGAUACGGCCCAGACUCCUACGGGAGGCAGCAGUGGGGAAUAUUGCACAAUGGGCGGAAGCCUGAUGCAGCAACGCCGCGUGCGGGAUGACGGCCUUCGGGUUGUAAACCGCUUUCGCCUGUGACGAAGCGUGAGUGACGGUAAUGGGUAAAGAAGCACCGGCUAACUACGUG
rnacentral:rRNA from 1 species